AAAUUGAAGAGUUUGAUCAUGGCUCAGAUUGAACGCUGGCGGCAGGCCUAACACAUGCAAGUCGAACGGUAACAGGAAGCAGCUUGCUGCUUCGCUGACGAGUGGCGGACGGGUGAGUAAUGUCUGGGAAACUGCCUGAUGGAGGGGGAUAACUACUGGAAACGGUGGCUAAUACCGCAUAACGUCGCAAGACCAAAGAGGGGGACCUUCGGGCCUCUUGCCAUCAGAUGUGCCCAGAUGGGAUUAGCUUGUUGGUGAGGUAACGGCUCACCAAGGCGACGAUCCCUAGCUGGUCUGAGAGGAUGACCAGCCACACUGGAACUGAGACACGGUCCAGACUCCUACGGGAGGCAGCAGUGGGGAAUAUUGCACAAUGGGCG
rnacentral:rRNA from 2 species